rnacentral:tRNA from 1 species
GAGGCUGUAGCUCAGCGGUAGAGCGUCCGGAUUUAUCCGGGAGGUCGAGGGUUCGACUCCCUUUAGCUUCUCCA